AUACGUAGGGGGCGAGCGUUGUCCGGAAUGAUUGGGCGUAAAGGGCGCGUAGGCGGCCCGGUAAGUCUGGAGUGAAAGUCCUGUUUUUAAGAUGGGAAUUGCUUUGGAUACUGUCGGGCUUGAGUGCAGGAGAGGUAAGUGGAAUUCCCAGUGUAGCGGUGAAAUGCGUAGAGAUUGGGAGGAACACCAGUGGCGAAGGCGACUUACUGGACUGCAACUGACGCUGAGGCGCGAGAGUGUGGGGAGCAAACAGGAUUAGAUACCCUGGUAGUCCACACUGUAAACGAUGAAUGCUAGGUGUAGGGGGUAUCGACCCCUUCUGUGCCGCAGUCAACACAAUAAGCAUUCCGCCUGGGGAGUACGGCCGCAAGGUUGAAACUCAAAGGAAUUGACGGGG
rnacentral:rRNA from 1 species